rnacentral:snRNA from 1 species
UAAUGUGAGGGCGAUCUGGCUGCAACAUCUGUCACCCCAUUGAUCGCCAGGGUUGAUUUGUCUGAUCUGGCUGGAUAGGCGAGUGUCCCCUUCCUCCCUCACCACUCCAUGUGCAUCCUUCCCGAAGCUGCACACUUGGUGGUAGAGGAUGACCAGCCCAGAUAGAAGGAGUGGAAUGUACCGCUCUUUGGUCAAGGGUAUACGAUAGAUAUUUUGGUUAAAAAUUUGAGAGCCUGCUUAUCUGUAUACACUUAUCUACAAGUAUAUACAGGAAGUAUGGGUACUUAAAAA